GAAAAAGAACUUCAAGAAAAGAAAACAAAAGCAAGAGCACAGGCAGAGAGGAAUGAGGUUUUGCAGGCUGUGAGAGCUCAGGAGAUGAUGGAAAAACACAGAGAAGCCCAAAGAUGGAAAAACCAAGAGUUUCUGGACAAAUUAGAGAAAAGAAACAGCUACAGUCGUUAUUAAACAGUACUUGGUGCGGAGGUGAAAGGCAUCCAAGAAUGACUCCAAUUCUCUAUGAAAUCAAUCAAACUUAAAAUAAUAAUUCUCCCUACUCACUGCUAUAUAUUUCUGUGCAUAUUAGAUACAAGAAUUUGUUAGUAAAUCAAAGACAAAGAAUCUACUGUCAGUAGAUGUGUAAUUUUCUGUUAUUAUUACUGUGUGUCCAUCUGCAUUGGUACUGUGACAAAAGGAAUAACGAUAAAUGUUCUCCAUCUUCAGGAGAGUUGAAACAGCACUUAUAUCCUGUACUUUUGGCACAAAAAUCUAAAACGCACUUGGACUGCAUGUGUUAAGGAAAAUAGUCAAGUGCAACACAAAACAUAGCAAACAUAUUUUAUAAGUUAGCACAUUUUUAUUUUGCAUUUUUCACUUAAAUUACUAAAAGGCUAAUAAUAUUGUAAUUCAUACAAGCUAGGUAGUAGAAAAACAUUACUUGUUUUUAGCUUAUCACCUAUUUGUAUUAUGGUGAAGGGUGAACUUUUACAAAUAUGAUAAAAAAAAAAGAAAAAAGAAAGAAAGCCAAGCACUGUGAUAUCCUUACUACCUAACUAAGAGUAAUGUUUAGUCUCUGAGAUGAAUAAAAACAUUUACAGUAGGUCACUUGACAUGUGAAUAAAAUAAUACAGCAGCUGGGUUUUAA